rnacentral:rRNA from 1 species
UACGGAGGGUGCAAGCGUUAUCCGGAUUUACUGGGUUUAAAGGGUGCGUAGGUGGGCAGGUAAGUCAGUGGUGAAAUCUCCGGGCUUAACCCGGAAACUGCCAUUGAUACUAUCUGUCUUGAAUAUCCUGGAGGUAAGCGGAAUAUGUCAUGUAGCGGUGAAAUGCUUAGAUAUGACAUAGAACACCCAUUGCGAAGGCAGCUCACUACACGAUAAUUGACGCUGAGGCACGAAAGCGUGGGGAGCAAACAGG